rnacentral:rRNA from 1 species
UACGUAGGGGCUAGCGUUAUCCGGAAUUACUGGGCGUAAAGGGUGCGUAGGUGGUUUCUUAAGUCAGAGGUGAAAGGCUACGGCUCAACCGUAGUAAGCCUUUGAAACUGGGAAACUUGAGUGCAGGAGAGGAGAGUGGAAUUCCUAGUGUAGCGGUGAAAUGCGUAGAUAUCGGGAGGAACACCGGUGGCGAAGGCGGCUUUCUGGCCAGUUACUGACGCUCAUGCGCGAAAGCUGGGGUAGCGAACGGGAUUAGAUACCCGUGUAGUCCCUGAGCGGGCUGG